GACGAACGCUGGCGGCGUGCUUAACACAUGCAAGUCGAACGGAAAGGCCCUGCUUUUGUGGGGUGCUCGAGUGGCGAACGGGUGAGUAACACGUGAGUAACCUGCCCUUGACUUUGGGAUAACUUCAGGAAACUGGGGCUAAUACCGGAUAGGAGCUCCUGCUGCAUGGUGGGGGUUGGAAAGUUUCGGCGGUUGGGGAUGGACUCGCGGCUUAUCAGCUUGUUGGUGGGGUAGUGGCUUACCAAGGCUUUGCCGGGUAGCCGGCCUGAGAGGGUGACCGGCCACACUGGGACUGAGAUACGGCCCAGACUCCAAUGGGAGGCAGCAGUGGGGAAUAUUGCACAAGGGGCGGAAGCCUGACGCAGCAACGCCGCGUGGGGGAUGACGGCCUUCGGGUUGGAAACCGCUUUCGCCUGUGACGAAGCGUGAGUGACGGUAAUGGGUAAAGAAGCCCCGGCUAACUACGUG
rnacentral:rRNA from 1 species